rnacentral:rRNA from 1 species
CCUACGGGUGGCAGCAGUGGGGAAUAUUGGACAAUGGGCGAAAGCCUGAUCCAGCCAUGCCGCGUGUGUGAAGAAGGCCUUCGGGUUGUAAAGCACUUUCAGUGGGGAAGAAAGCCUUGGGGCUAAUACCCUCGAGGAAGGACAUCACCCACAGAAGAAGCACCGGCUAACUCCGUGCCAGCAGCCGCGGUAAUACGGAGGGUGCGAGCGUUAAUCGGAAUUACUGGGCGUAAAGCGCGCGUAGGCGGUCUGAUAAGCCGGUUGUGAAAGCCCCGGGCUCAACCUGGGAACGGCAUCCGGAACGGUCAGGCUAGAGUGCAGGAGAGGAAGGUAGAAUUCCCGGUGUAGCGGUGAAAUGCGUAGAGAUCGGGAGGAAUACCAGUGGCGAAGGCGGCCUUCUGGACUGACACUGACGAUGAGGUGCGAAAGCGUGGGUAGCAAACAGGAUUAGAUACCCCAGUAGUC